rnacentral:rRNA from 1 species
ACGGGUGAGUAAUAUAUCGGAACGUGCCCAGUUGUGGGGGAUAGCCCGGCGAAAGCCGGAUUAAUACCGCAUACGACCUGAGGGUGAAAGCGGGGGAUCGCAAGACCUCGCGCAAUUGGAGCGGCCGAUAUCAGAUUAGCUAGUUGGUGGGGUAAAGGCCUACCAAGGCGACGAUCUGUAGCUGGUCUGAGAGGACGACCAGCCACACUGGGACUGAGACACGGCCCAGACUCCUACGGGAGGCAGCAGUGGGGAAUUUUGGACAAUGGGCGCAAGCCUGAUCCAGCCAUGCCGCGUGCGGGAAGAAGGCCUUCGGGUUGUAAACCGCUCUUGUCAGGGAAGAAACGGUCUGAUCUAAUAAAUUGGACUAAUGACGGUACCUGAAGAAUAAGCACCGGCUAACUACGUGCCAGCAGCCGCGGUAAUACGUAGGGUGCAAGCGUUAAUCGGAAUUACUGGGCGUAAAGCGUGCGCAGGCGGCUAUGCAAGACAGAUGUGAAAUCCCGGGCUCAACCUGGGAACUGCAUUUGUGACUGCAUGGCUAGAGUACGGUAGAGGGGGAUGGAAUUCCGCGUGUAGCAGUG